UCUUAGGUAGUAUAUUGGUUAGUAUUUGUGCCUGUCAUGCGCAAGUCCGGGGUUCAAUUCCCUGUCUGAGAG
rnacentral:tRNA from 1 species